rnacentral:rRNA from 1 species
UCAGGCCUAACACAUGCAAGUCGAACGCCCUCUUCGGAGGGAGUGGCAGACGGGUGAGUAACGCGUGGGAACCUACCCUUUAGUACGGAAUAAUCCAUGGAAACGUGGCCUAAUACCGUAUACUCCCUUCGGGGGAAAGAUUUAUCGCUAAAGGAUGGGCCCGCGUCAGAUUAGCUAGUUGGUGGGGUAAUGGCCUACCAAGGCUACGAUCUGUAGCUGGUCUGAGAGGAUGAUCAGCCACACUGGGACUGAGACACGGCCCAGACUCCUACGGGAGGCAGCAGUGGGGAAUCUUGGACAAUGGGCGCAAGCCUGAUCCAGCCAUGCCGCGUGAAUGAUGAAGGCCUUAGGGUCGUAAAAUUCUUUCGCCAGGGAAGAUAAUGACGGUACCUGGUAAAGAAGCCCCGGCUAACUCCGUGCCAGCAGCCGCGGUAAUACGGAGGGGGCUAGCGUUGUUCGGAAUUACUGGGCGUAAAGCGUGCGUAGGCGGAUCAUUAAGUUGGGGGUGAAAUCCCGGGGCUCAACCUCGGAACUGCCCUCAAAACUGGUGAUCUAGAGUUUGGUAGAGGUAAGCGGAAUUCCGAGUGUAGGGGUGAAAUCCACAGAUAUUCGGAGGAACACCAGUGGCGAAGGCGGCUUACUGGGCCAAUACUGACGCUGAGGCACGAAAGCGUGGGGAGCAAACAGGAUUAGAUACCCU